CCCUACAUUCCUGGGUUCCCAAAAAGCCAUUAGUACUCUGAGCCCGCCUUCUCCCUGACUGAUCACCAAUGAACAGGAAGAGUUCUCGGGCUGGUUAUUAGAAGACGGAAACGCCAUACGCGUCAUACACCGGCAUCCGGGCGGAAAGGCGGGAGCGGCUCACAGGACCCGGCAGGGCUGGACCCUACAGUGCUUGAAGUGUCAGCACAUGCCGCAAGGAUGUUCCACGGGAGCUCCGGCAGCUGCUACAGGGUCCGGCCUGAUGGGUGACUUCUUCCGAGUCUGGCUUCCCCACGACACAGGGCUUGCCAGCACCCAGCUCCCGCGGCAUGGGCAGCUCCUGUGACAGCAGGCGCCCACAAGCUGCACAACUUCUCCCGUGCCUGCCCACUAGCAGCCUUCUCACCACCCUCUUCAGGCAGUUCUGCAGCAUCUCUCGUGAGACACCUCCCUGUGAGCAGCUUUUCCACCAUCGAGGAUGGAUUUCCAGCAAGUUCUGCCCAUGCGGUACCACAGCCACUUCUCUGCCAUGCCGUGAACUGCAGACGUGCCCUCUUCAAGAGACAGCCUCUCUCUAUUGCCCAGGCUGGUCUUGCCCUCCUGGGCUCAAGCUGUCCACCUGCCUCGGCCUCCUAACAGUAUUGCAGUUUUAAGGCCUGAGUGCCGAAGAGCCAAUGGGGCAGAGUCCAAUUCAAGACUGAAGCCUGAGAAUCAGGAGCACAAGACCAGGAGAUCAGUGUCCCAGGACCCAGGUCUCCAGUACUCAGGCACAGAGAGAAUUCAGCCUUCCUUCGCCUCGUGUUGCAUUUAAUUCCGUACUGGAUGGCAGAUGCCCACCCAUGCUGAGGGCUGUCUGCUUUACUCACUCGGCCGAUUCAAACGUCAACCUCUUCCUGAGAAACCCUCACAGACACGCUCCGUGUUAAACCAGCUAUCUGGGCAUGCCUUGGCCCAGUAAGUUUACAGAUAAAGUUAACCAUCACAGGGUGCUCGGUGUGCACGGCACGCAGUGGGAGCACGAGCAAGCAGCCACCUGCAGGUGAUGAGGAAAUGCCGAUGAAGGCAUGUACCUGGUGGGAACACGUAGCUGCCGCGCUUGACCACUGGGUGUCCACAGAUGUAUGACGGCAUGGGAUACCUUGUUUUUAGUGCACUUGAGCAUUUACAGUGAGAAAAUGACACGCCCGAAUCCCUUAGUUCAGUUCAAGUCAUGGUCGGAGAACCUGAGAA